rnacentral:rRNA from 1 species
AGGGCACCACCAGGAGUGGAGCCUGCGGCUUAAUUUGACUCAACGCGGGGAAACUUACCCGGCCCGGACACCGUAAGGAUUAACAGAUUGAGAGCUCUUUCUUGAUUCGGUGAGUGGUGGUGCAUGGCCGUUCUUAGUUGGCGGAGCGAUUUGUCUGGUUAAUUCCGAUAACGAACGAGACUCUAGCCUAUUAAAUAGUCGGCAAAUCCUUUGUUUACUGUACUUCUUAGAGGGACAGAAGGCGUCUAGCCUUACGAGAUUGAGCAAUAACAGGUCUGUGAUGCCCUUAGAUGUUCGGGGCUGCACGCGCGCUACACUGAAGGAUUCAACGUGAUUUUUCACCUGUUCUGGAAAGAAUGGGUAACCCGUUGAAACUCCUUCGUGAUUGGGAUAGGGGCUUGUAAUUAUUCCCCUUGAACGAGGAAUUCCUAGUAAGUGCGGGUCAUCAUCUCGCGUUGAUUACGUCCCUGCCCUUUGUACACACCGCCCGUCGCUACUACCGAUUGGAUGAUUUAGUGA